CCCAUGUUAGUGCUGACAGUAAUUAGCAUAUUCUCUACUAGUCAAGAAGCCCACCCACUGCAACUCUGCCCUAAAAAAUCGACCCCAAAAUGGAAUCGUAAUCACUUAAAAUUCAGCAGGCACUUGAAAUCACAGUAGGAACAACUUUGUUUUCAGAUGAAGCAACAGAAUUGGCAUUGUUGGAAGAGUUUUCAACUGCUGCAUACCAUCCAUUUUCUUCUACCAGCUUCACCUCCCCAUUCAACUUCCCCAGUUUGACUGCUGCAGGACCCACCGGUUCCUUCAAUAAAAUAUCGGUGGAUUUUUGUGAACUGUCUUUACCCAUCAUCGCAAGUUUCUCUUUACUAGUGGCCAAGUCAUCGCCAGGCUUCCCAUCAAAAACCUGUUUUUGAAUCUUUUGCUUAGCCCUUUUCUCCUGCAUAAUCCUUUCACGAGCCGCAUAAAACCCAAAAUCAUCCAGGAUAGAUGUCUUGCCCUUAUGACCCUUAAAAAUUUUAAGUAUCUGAAUACCUUCAUCCAAGAUAACCUCUUGUGUAUCUCUACUAUUAGUGACAGGCUUGUUCUCAUUGUUUUUAAGAGCUAUGUGCCUCAAAGAACUAUUUGGCACAUCCUUAAUAAUAUGCCACUUGACAGGGAAGCAACCAAUCCACUUCUCCUGCUGCCAAUACUCUACUGUUUUGUUAAAAUCAACUGCCCCCGCCAUCUCCGCCAAACCAACAAAUUGCCCACUGGUGUUGACAGAGAAUAGUAGAAAUACAGGACAGCCACCAGGAAUUUCUUUGGCUUCAUGGUAAGCUGCAUCCAGCUUCUUAUUUCCAUUUGGCGUGCUUGCCCACACACCAUAUUUGAUGCAUUUAUGAACAUCAUCCUCACUGUACGACUUAAUAACAAAAAAUUUUGCGUUUGAGUAAUCCUCAGGAAAAUCCUCCCUGUUGUACUGUUCCUUCUCUGACAUUUGAGGCAAACUAUCCUCCUUGUUAUCCUCAGUCACUGACAGGUUUUGCCCCUGGACUGCCUGAGGAACAGCGUCCAACUCCGUUUGGUUCUUAAAACCCUUGGCCCUAGGUCCUCUAUUCAACUCACUUAAACCUUCCAUAUUCUCAUUGCCAUAGCUGCCCUUAGAUUUGUACUUAUUAUCAACAACCACCCACCCACGUCCAUUUGUCCACGAAUUACCACCAAAGGAUCCAAAACCUGCACCAGGUCUGUAUCCAUAUUGGCCAUACAUUCUAUUGUUUGGGUACAUGUUCAUGCCUCCAGAAGCUAGGCCCAAACCAGACAUUGGUCUUGUAGCCACUGGUGAAGAGAAUGCAGUGUGCUGAUUGCAUGUCCAGGAGGCCCAUUAGGAAACAUAGAGGCAUCUAACCAUGGGAUCGGUGACUGAAAUCCAUCGUAUCCAAACCUUGGGUCUUGAUAACCGUGUGAAGGAAAUCCUGUUGGUAAACUUCCCCCGUUAUAGGGAACAUUUAAACUUGCAGAUGAAUUUCGAUUACUAGGUCUGAAAGGUUUUGGUCGAUUACUUCUAUUUACACUUCCACUGUUUCCAAUGUUCACUGUAUUAUUGGUGUUUCCUGCAGCAGUCCCAACAGACGAAGCCGCCUUAUCAGCUGCAGCAGAAGUUGGAACCUCUGCCUGGGAAGCACUGGCUGAGUUAGGAGAAUAAAGUGUGCCAGUUGAAGCCGAAGCCUGGUAAAAAGGACUAGGGUACAGAUAGUGCUCUGUACCAUACAGCUGGCCAUCAUUUCCCCUUGUAGGCACAGUAGAACUUGGUGAAGGAUAUGCCCCGAAAGGUGCAUAACCAUAGCCUUGAUGGUACAUAAAAGUUUCAUUAUUGCCAUAGAUGCCCUUCUUUGUGGGUUCAGGAAUUUCAGCACUCUUUGUCUGAGAAUCUAAUGACAAAUUCUCCAUCACAUCUGCAACCUGAUCAGAAGGAGAAGAAACAGCUGCCAUGAUGACGGUGAUGCUGAUGAUAUUGAUAAACGAUAAAGAAAGAAAGAGAAACCCUAGAAUUUAAAGCGAGAGGAGAAUUUAAGAGGUGGGGAUUUUUGGGGAAAGGUCAAGGAAG
rnacentral:misc_RNA from 1 species